rnacentral:lncRNA from 1 species
UCUCUGUCUCGCUGCAAUGUGGUUUUCCUCUCAGGGAAGCGCUCAAGCCCUGAAUUUUCAGUCUGGCUUGCACAUGCUGUCAGAAGCUAGUGGGAGACAGUUUUCUUCUUAAUGCAGAAAAGAGGACAAGCUUUCACUUUAGUGGAAGAUCCUACCUGCCUUUUGGCCUGUCAGCCUUACUGAGACAGCAUCCACUGCAACCGGAGAAGCACAGCAAACUGCUUCCUGCUGCCCAGAACAUGGCUGUGCUUCAUCACUUCAGGUCUCACACCAUCCAGCUGGUAGCUGUUGCUGUUGUCUGGAGGACUUGCAAGCAAAACACUGACAAAUCAGCUGAUAUCUUUGCUUCCCUGUCCCUGUAUUUUCUGUAUGAUGGAAGGUCACUGGGAGGUAGCACAGCUUCUCUUCUGAGAUGCGUGGUGGUGGCUGGUUAGAUAAUCAGCGUGAGGAUGGAGGGGGUGGAGAAGAUUGAAUAUCCAUGGACAAACAGAAGAUGGUUCUCAGCCAUUUCAGAGCACAACUUUAGCUUGGUGUGUUUCUUGUAUGAUUUUUGUCCUGUUCUAUAAAUGGUCAGUAAUGUAGAAGGAGAAGAGAAAUACAGCUAAAUAAGUCCUAUGUCCGUACAUACACGUGACGGUUUUACUGUAAUUUGUGUGUUCUCUAUGGGAUCUAACUAAGCAUAAAAAAGUCACAAAUCAUAAACUCCAGAGAG